rnacentral:tRNA from 1 species
GGCGACGUAGCCAAACGGCUAAGGCAAGAGGCUGCAACCCUCUCAUUCUGGGUUCAAAUCCCAGCGUCGCCU